UACGUAGGGGGCAAGCGUUGUCCGGAUUUAUUGGGCGUAAAGAGCGUGUAGGCGGCCAAGCAGGUCCGCUGUGAAAACUCGAGGCUCAACCUCGAGACGUCGGUGGAAACCGUUUGGCUAGAGUCCGGAAGAGGAGAGUGGAAUUCCCGGUGUAGCGGUGAAAUGCGCAGAUAUCGGGAAGAACACCCGUGGCGAAGGCGGCUCUCUGGGACGGUACUGACGCUGAGACGCGCAAGCGUGGGGAGCGAACAGG
rnacentral:rRNA from 1 species